rnacentral:tRNA from 2 species
GCCAACGUAGCUCAGCCGGUAGAGCAAGUGAUUCGUAAUCACUAGGUCCGCGGUUCGAAUCCGCGCGUUGGCUCCA